GCUCUAGGAACCUGGCAUAACAACAAGUAGGUUCUCAUACAGAGAAAAUCAGCAUUGCCCCUGAAUGAGGAUGACACACACAAAUUCAUGAGGCAUUCCAUACCUUA